UACGAAGGGGGCUAGCGUUGCUCGGAAUCACUGGGCGUAAAGCGCACGUAGGCGGCUCUUUAAGUCAGGGGUGAAAUCCUGGAGCUCAACUCCAGAACUGCCUUUGAUACUGGGGAUCUCGAGUCCGGGAGAGGUGAGUGGAACUCCGAGUGUAGAGGUGAAAUUCGUAGAUAUUCGGAAGAACACCAGUGGCGAAGGCGGCUCACUGGCCCGGUACUGACGCUGAGGUGCGAAAGCGUGGGGAGCAAACAGG
rnacentral:rRNA from 1 species